rnacentral:lncRNA from 10 species
AAGUGGAAUUACAGGAUUUCUGUGACAAUUCUACGCUUCAUGUUUUGAGGAGCUGCUGAACUAUUUUCCACAAUGGGUGUGCCAUUUUACAAUCUUGCCAGCAGUGCACAAUGGAUCUAAUUUCUCCACCUUCUCUUCAAUACUUCUUUUCCAUUUUUUUUACUUGCCAUCUUAAUGAAUGUGGAGCCCAUACCACAUUUUGUAACAUAGUUAUAAAUUUAGGAAUUAGAAGGUCUGUCAUCUCAUUUAGUCUCUUAUGUUCCAGAAGAAGAUGAAACCCAGAAUUUUCAGUGCCUUAUCCCAUGUCACCUAUCAGAAUGGGGCUAGAACCAGGUCUCUUCUUUGCCAAUGUUUCAUAGAGCCUAUUAGACAUGGUAUAUAAGACUACGGGAAAAAAAGCAGUUAAGCGUCAGACUUGAGAAUACAUCAGAGCUGACAUAAAAUCAUAUAUGAAAUCGAGAUAGAAGUCUGACUUUAUACUCUCCUAUCUUACGAAGUUAGACUGGCACCAGAAAAGUUGGUGAACCUCCAGAGCUUCAGUUUCCUGAUCUAUCAGAUGCAUAUAGUAAUACUUGCCUUGUAGAAAUUUUGAAAAGAUUAAAUUAAAUUAUUCAAGAUCCUAUAUAGUCCUGAAGCUAUUUAGACAUUGAAAAAAUAUUCCUUCCACUGCCAACAUCUAGCACAAUUUGGGAUACAUGUUAGGUGCUAAACCAACACUUACUAAUUUGACUUGCUUUGACAACAGGGUCUAAAACUGCUUUAGGCUUCAGAUUUCUUCUGGCAAUUUAUUUCCAAUUUAGGGUGGGUGCUAACAAAAGGUCAGAGGAACAACGAAAGCAGAUGGUCUUCCUGAAGCGUGUGCCAAAAGGAUUUGUGAGUGUAUUGGGGUGACGUCUCCACCCAUCGCACAGCUUGGAGGCUCAAGGGCAGAUCCCCAACAUUGUACUGGUCCCUUCCUGAGCACUCCCUGGUGCAGACUCCAAGUCUGACAAGGAAAAUGUGCUGUGAUCAUCCUACGGGGGACAGAGCAGCUGCUCCAAGGUGGAGUCUAUUGUCAAGGUCCUCCUGGUAACAAAAAGAGGAAAAGGUCUAUCAAAGCAUUUCCUGCCCGCGGGAGCCAUGUGCUUCCAUUAAUUCUUUUCCCUGAGUCAGUCUGUCUCCCUCAGCUCAUGUCUCUCCAUGUCCACUGUCCAGAGAAAAGAACAGGCAUUUUUAGCAGUUGAUUUAAAAACCUUUCCACAAAGUGAGGUUAACGAGAGGAACAAGCUCAGAUAUUCAGUGGUAUGCAUCUAUAUAUUUCAUAAGGAAGCUGGCACUAAGAAAGGGUGGUUUACGGCAGUUAUGAUUUUUCAGAAAUCUGCUCAUGCCCUUCAACUGCUUUGGCACUGCCAUGGGUACCUGAGGAUAAGAGAGAUGUCUCUGCCAUCUCUGCACCAUCAAGAAAUUACAGAAAAACCACAGUGAAUAUCCUCUGAAUAUUACAUUGGUAACAUUCACACAUUAUAGAAAAAAUUAGUUAGUGAUGGGAGUGAGUAAACAGUAUUUCUGAAUGAGUGACUGAGUUUGGUGAAUCAAAUUUGUUAGCCAUGGGAGUCAAUAAAAAUAUAUUUCUAAAUGAGUGACUGAGUUUCAUGAACUAAUCUGAAUCUCGGUUCAGGGAAGAAGGCCUGGAGGGUGACUCUGAUGAAUAAGGUAAAAUGUGGUCAUUUAUAGUGCACCCUCUUCCAGAAAAGAUAAUGUCACAAAGAAAGAAGAUGGUGAGCAUGGUGUCUACAAACAGAGCAAAGAGAAAGAUAGAAUUUGACAAAUACUUAUCCAGCACUGUUAUGAUGAAAGCCCCUAAGUGCUAAUAUGGCAGAUUGCAAAAAAUGGUGGAAGAGAGUCAAGAUGCCGUGGCCAACGACCUGCCAAUCGGACAGAAUCCUGGUCUUGACGUCCCUCAAGGAUGACAGAGAGUCCACAUGCCAGGCUAGAUAAUCAUUGAAGAAUCCCAGGCCUCUUUGAUCCUGUAAACAAGAAGAGGAGAUUAGGAUAUGGACACACACAGAGGGAAGACCAUGUAAGACACAGGGAGAAGAUGGCCAAGAAGAAACCAACC